GUACGCCGGGGAUAACAGGCUGAUACCGCCCAAGAGUUCACAUCGACGGCGGUGUUUGGCACCUCGAUGUCGGCUCAUCACAUCCUGGGGCUGAAGCAGGUCCCAAGGGUAUGGCUGUUCGCCAUUUAAAGUGGUACGCGAGCUGGGUUUAGAACGUCGUGAGACAGUUCGGUCCCUAUCUACCGUGGGCGUUGGAGACUUGAGGGAAGCUGUUCUUAGUACGAGAGGACCGGAAUGGACACACCUCUGGUGUUUCGGUUAUGACGCCAGUCGUAUUGCCGAGUAGCUAUGUGUGGAAAGGAUAACCGCUGAAAGCAUCUAAGCGGGAAGCCCCUCCCAAGAUUAGGUCUCCCUGACAGUUUAACUGUCCUAAAGAUCCCUCGGAGACUACGAGGUUGAUAGGCACGGUGUGGAAGAGUAGUGAUACUUGAAGCUAACGUGUACUAAUUGAUCGUGAGGCUUGACCAUAUAACACCCAA
rnacentral:rRNA from 1 species